UUAUUUGAAUGAGAAUUGUGAAGUGAAGCCCAAAAACUCUUCUGAAGAGGCUCUUCAGAGAUGGAGGAAACUAUGCGGGUUUGUCAAGAACCCCAAACGACCCCAAACGACGCUUUCGUUUCACUGCCAAUCUCGCCAUGAGAAGCUGCUAUGUGUCGUACCAAUCAGGAGAAGCUGAGGAUUGCAGUUUUGGUUUCCAAAGCAACUAUUCAAUUUAUCCAAAGCGUGCAACUAAGCGAUUACAAACACAUGGUUUUGAUCAAAUCUGUGAAGAUGAAUUGGCGUGUAUCAUUGAAGGCCAUGAUGUAAAAAAGUUCAGACUUCAUGGUGGGGUUAAUGGCAUUGCAGAAAAGCUUUUCUACAUCAACCACUGAGGGGCUUAACAGUGACAGCGAGUCAUUGAAUACGAGACAACAGAUAUAUGGAAUCAACAAAGAAGGGCUUAACAGUGACAGCGAGUCAUUGAAUAUGAGACAACAGAUAUAUGGAAUCAACAAAUUUACUGAAAGUGAAGCUACAAGUUUCUAGGUUUUUGUUUGGAAAGCUUUUCAAGACAUGACUCUGAUGAUAAAACUUUGGCAAUGAAA